rnacentral:lncRNA from 1 species
AGCUAGAGCCACCAAAUUUUUGUGGUAUUUUGGUAGUCGCUAACAGAGCGUCUUGGCGUGAGAAGUUAGCUCCAGCUGAAAUUAAGUAAGUCCGAUUUGGUCCCUCUUCUUUAAGCAUUCUGCUGGCACUUCAUAAUGCAGCAAAUGGUAAUUUGUUAGUUUUUACAAAAGCAGACGAUGAAAACUUAUUUAUGUUUGGGUGUCUUGGCAUGUGCGUGCAAAUCGCUGUUUUGCAUUAAUGCUAUAUUUACAAAGCAGAAGAAUCUCGCAUAUAAGAACUAUGGCUAAGCUGCAUUUUCACACAUUCUAAAAUACUUCGUUAGAAUUAGUAUACAAAUCGAUUCUUGUAAAAUACUUCAGUUACGUCAGUACUUAUCAAUCUUUUUCCAAAAUAUCUUGGAAAAUAACUAUAAUUUCCG